rnacentral:rRNA from 1 species
AGCCCGACACCGAAUCCUGUACCAUUUGUGGUAUUGGGAGUUGUGGUGGAUAGGAUUGUGUCUUUGGUGCUUGAAUUAACUUGAAAUUCGCUUGAAUGCGAUAUGUCCGUAGAGGGUGAAAGUCCCGUUCAGGUUAAUGAUGGUGUCAUUGAUGCUUUCCAAUGAGUAGGAUUGUUUGGGAAUGCAGUCCGAAUUGGGUGGUAGAUUCCAUCUAAGGCUAAAUACUUGUCUGAGUCCGAUAGCAAACAAGUACCGUGAGGGAAAGUUGAAAAGUACUUUGAAGAGAGAGUUAAAUAGCACGUGAAAUCACUUAAAGGUAAACGAGUAGAGCCCAAGGUUGGUGUUUAGAAUUCAGCUUUGAAGGCUGUCCAGUUUUUGGUUAUCAAUCUGCAAAGUUGAUGCUAUUGACUCGGCGCAGUUUUCGGGGUGCACUUUCUAUUCAUCAAAUAUGCGACCAGUAUGAGGUUUUUCUGUCGUAGAGAUGAAGUUAUCCAUAUCUUCGGAUUUGGUUUAUAUAGCUUUCUGCAUGGUUGAAUCUUGAACUGGUGACAGUGACCGACAAAGUUCGUGUGUGUGUUCACUUGAAUGUAGCUCUUGUAAACUCUAAGAGAUUGCUUGGGUUAUGUUUUUGUGUUUAUGCUUCAACUUGUUGGUGCAAAGUCAGCAUUGUAGUAGGCAGUCUACUUGUCCCGUCUUGAAACACGGACCAAGGAGUUUUUUAUACUUGCGAGUCAAAGGGCCUUACGAAACCCCACGGCGUAAUGAAAGUGAAUAAUUCUUCGGAAUUUUCAAAUGCGACCUUUGAAGGUUUCCCCUUCGAAGUGCAGCAUUGCCCUGUUCAAAGAUGUUCGCAUCUGAGCAGAGGUGGAGCAAGUAUGAAGAGACCCGAAAGAUGGUGAACUUUGGUUGUGCAGGUUGAAGCCAGAGGAAACUCUGGUGGAGGACCGAAGCAGUUCUGACGUGCAAAUCGAUUGUCAGACAUGACCAAAGGGGCGAAAGACUAAUCGAACCAUCUAGUAGCUGGUUCCCUCCGAAGUUUCCCUCAGGAUAGCUGGCGCUGUAUAUAGUUAUAUCCGGUAAAGCGAAUGAUUAGAAGUACCGGGGACGAAAUGUCCUCGUCUUAUUCUCAAACUUUAAAUGGGUAUGUAGUGCUGCUUACUUCAUUGAAGUAGUACAAACAAUAUCAGUGCUUAGUGGGCCAUUUUUGGUAAGCAGAACUGGCGAUGUGGGAUGAACCAAACAUUCAGUUAAGGUGCCUAAUUCAUGCUCAUGAGACACCACAAAAGGUGUUGGUUGAUAAAGACAGCAGGACGGUGGACAUGGAAGUUGUCAUCCGCUAAGGAGUGUGUAACAACUCACCUGCCGAAUCAACCAGCCCUGAAAAUGGAUGGCGCUGUAGCAUGGAACCUAUACUGGAUCGGCACGGUAAGCACAUUGCGAGUAAGCCGUGUCGUGUAGGAGGGCGCUGUGAUAGUGCUGAAGCUACAGGCGUGAGCCUGGGUUGAACUGUCACGGGUGCAGAUCUUGGUAGUAGUAGC